ACGAACGCUGGCGGCGUGCCUAAUACAUGCAAGUAGAACGCUGAAGGAGGAGCUUGCUUCUCUGGAUGAGUUGCGAACGGGUGAGUAACGCGUAGGUAACCUGCCUGGUAGCGGGGGAUAACUAUUGGAAACGAUAGCUAAUACCGCAUAAUAGUAGAUGUUGCAUGACAUUUGCUUAAAAGGUGCAAUUGCAUCACUACCAGAUGGACCUGCGUUGUAUUAGCUAGUUGGUGAGGUAACGGCUCACCAAGGCAACGAUACAUAGCCGACCUGAGAGGGUGAUCGGCCACCCUGGGACUGAGACACGGCCCUGACUCCUACGGGAGGCAGCAGUAGGGAAUCUUCGGCAAUGGACGGAAGUCUGACCGAGCAACGCCGCGUGAGUGAAGAAGGUUUUCGGAUCGUAAAGCUCUGUUGUAAGAGAAGAACGAGUGUGAGAGUGGAAAGUUCACACUGUGACGGUAUCUUACCAGAAAGGGACGGCUAACUACGUG
rnacentral:rRNA from 1 species